rnacentral:rRNA from 1 species
CCUACGGGAGGCAGCAGUGAGGAAUAUUGGUCAAUGGGCGAGAGCCUGAACCAGCCAAGUCGCGUGAGGGAGUACUGCCCUAUGGGUUGUAAACCUCUUUUGUCGGGGAGCAAAAGCCGGACGUGUCCGGCUGUGAGAGUACCCGAAGAAAAAGCAUCGGCUAACCCCGUGCCAGCAGCCGCGGUAAUACGGAGGAUGCGAGCGUUAUCCGGAUUUAUUGGGUUAAAAGGGUGCGCAGGCGGAUUUUUAAGUCAGCGGUAAAAUCGUGGGGCUCAACCCCAUCCAGCCGUUGAAACUGGGGAUCUAGAGUGUGCGAGAGGUAUGCGGAAUGCGUGGUGUAGCGGUGAAAUGCAUAGAUAUCACGCAGAACCCCGAUUGCGAAGGCAGCAUACCGGUGCACAACUGACGCUCAGGCACGAAAGCGUGGGUAUCGAACAGGAUUAGAUACCCCUGUAGUC